AUAAGAAAUAAACCCAAGAGGUUUCUCAAUGUAGAAGACUGGAGGCAGCCUCUGUGUGCUUGAUAUGAAGGCGCUACAUAAGAAGAAAGUGAUGGGCCUUCACUCUACUGUAGUUCCAGAAAUCAAUGCGCGGCUCAAGGUUAAAUGCUUCAAACAAAUGUCACCAAGAUGUGCAAUUCCUCUCUUUCUUAAGGGCUCCCCUGAGAUCAUUCAGAGCAGCCAGAGGAACUGACAGAUCGAUUGGGGCUGCUGAUGCUUCCUGAGAUGGGACGGCUGCAUGGAAGCUGUGUGCUGAUAACAUGCCCAGGGAUAUUGCAUAUGAAAAUUCAGGACUAUCUAGAGCCAGAAAUCAGGCGCAGCCAAAGUCGUCUUUGGUUAUUUUAGACAGGAAAUUGGCAGUCGUUAUGGAUUCACAGGGGGGCUCAUAGACUGAUAAUCCUGUGAUCCUGGAAGAUUGAGCAUUGCUGGCUCUGUCAGAAAAUUUCCAUUCUUCUCAAAAGGAUUUAAAGAGAUGACACAACUCUGAAGCUGCUCUUCACUUUUCCUUGUUCCCGAUAUUUGGACCCAAUUAAUUGGAACAAUUAAAAAGUGGCCAUACAUAUUUAAGAGAUCCAUCCAUUCAGUCCAUGGGCCAAUUAGUCAAAGUCAAAUUAGUUAAAGUAUAUAGCCACAUUAGACAAGGAACAUGCAGUCAGUCCUAUCAGCUUUUUUGAAUUGUGCUGUUGGAAGCCAGGUUUGUCAGACAAUCAAUGGACAAAUAUGCACCACAAUGUUGAUGAAUGUGGCAUCACUUGCUUCUUGUCCACUAUGAGGUAAAAGUUCAAAUACUGAUUCCCACUGAGAGAGUAAUAAUCACAAUAGUCGUAUCCUAAUUACAUAAUGAAGGAAUACCAGAGUACCGAAAUAGUUGUGUGUGUAAUAAAGUUCAUAAGACAAUGAAUGGAUCUAACAUCCAGUUAGUGACUGAUGCCUCCUCUCACCGUAAUAGAGUCAGAUGCACUGAUCACGUCGGUCUACAAGGUAGAAAUAAUUUCAACAAAAUUGAACUUUACAUUUUUAAUCUUUGGUAACUUGUAACACAUUCACAAGUGUCCCCUAAGUCUGGACUGGCAGUCUGUGGAUUCUGGCAAAUGCCAGAGGGGCUGCUGUAAAAUGCCAUAAACAGUCACUAUUUAUUGAGUCUAUGGGGGUUGGUUUGGGCCUUGGUUACUUGAAUGCCAGGGCCCAUUUUGAUUCCCAGUCCAGACGUGGCAUCCACAGAUCUCAUCCAUGGAUGAGAUGAGAAAAGGAAAACAUACAAUAAAAUAUACAGUAGUGUGGUAUAUCAGCCAAUGUGGUCUCUAGCCAAUGUUCUGUCCCUGCAGCAUGGUGCGAGUACAAUGACAUUCGGUCUGUUUCAUCUUGCAACUCUCUGAAAGGUG